rnacentral:lncRNA from 1 species
CGGGCGGCGGGGCGCGGGGAGACCAGGGCGGGCCACCCUUCCCCGCCCCGCCCCGCGCCCCGCCCACGGGACCCGGACCGCGCCCUCAACCCCAGGCCCCGCGGCCACCCUGGACAGCUCCUGACUGACCGACCUGAGAGACACAGAGACAGAGACAGAGACAGAGGCAGAGACAGAGAGAUUGAGAGGAUCCGAGACACGGACCCAGACAGACACCCCCCGGGACAGACACACAGACGCUCACGCUGACACAGAGAGGCCCUGCCCAAGAGGCAGCUUCCCCACAGGAGGGCGGUGGUGCUUGAGCUGGGCCCGGGCAAGGAGGCGGGGGCCCUGGGGCUGGCGAUCACCCCUGGGGCCCUGGGACGUGCAGACAGGGUCUCAGGAGUGCAGCGCUCCUGGGAUCCCUGUCCCGCGACCCGGACGCCCAGGAGCCACGGACAGGCAGCCGGGCUCGGGCGCUCGCUCUCGCUCUCGCUCUCGCUCUCGCUCUCGCUCUCGCUCUGUGUGUGCGCGUUUUUGUGUGCGCGUGCGUGUUUGUGUGUUUCUUUCCUUCUCUCUUCGCCUCUUCGUUCUGGCUCUUUUCCUCUUUCUGCGGGGCGCCCCCGGACUUCCUGAGUUGACAGAACGAGCAGCCAGAAAAGUCAGGACACGGAGAACUUCGCCCGAGAAACCAACGCAAUCUACCAGACGUACAGAACCCCCUCCCCGACGACCACAGCGUCCACAGUCUGCUCGAGCGCAGAUGAGGCAACUGCCGCUCAGGGAGGGCGAGUCCCUCGCAGGAACGGCGGCCCUUGCUGCCGAGCCUUCGUUUGAGACCAAGCCUCCGGGCCCGCACUCCGGGAAACUUACGGAGACACAGCCCCAGUUCUCCCAGCAGAACACGCUCAUCGGAGCUUCUCCACAGCGAGCAACUAUUGCUUUCUGUCUGCGGUGGGGAAGAGACGGCUUACCUUGAUGAAUUCCCCCCUUGAAAAUGUAAAAGUCCGUGCGAUCUGAGGCAAGUCUCCCCUCUCCUCCUCCCUGUCAUCCCCGCUCUCCUCCCCUGGAGCAAACUCCCCUCCCGCUUUCCCGGAUCCCCUUUCCGCGAUAGUCUGCGCGGACACAGGCAGGGGAAGAGCAGACUUUCAAAGCUGCCCGAGCCGCACGAAAUGAAAGCUGAAGCACAAGGAGCCAGGAAGGG